rnacentral:rRNA from 1 species
UCGGGAAUAUUGCGCAAUGGAGGAAACUCUGACGCAGUGACGCCGCGUAUAGGAAGAAGGUUUUCGGAUUGUAAACUAUUGUCGUUAGGGAAGAUAAAAGACUGUACCUAAGGAGGAAGCCCCGGCUAACUAUGUGCCAGCAGCCGCGGUAAUACAUAGGGGGCAAGCGUUAUCCGGAAUUAUUGGGUGUAAAGGGUGCGUAGACGGAAGAACAAGUUGGUUGUGAAAUCCCUCGGCUCAACUGAGGAACUGCAACCAAAACUAUUCUCCUUGAGUGUCGGAGAGGAAAGUGGAAUUCCUAGU